AAACUUACCUGGCAGGAGAGAUACCUGAUCGCGAAGGUGGUUUUCCCAGGGUGAGGUUUAUCUAUUGCACUUUGGAUGUGCUGACCCCUGUGACUUCCCCAAAUGUGGGAAACUCAACUGCAUAACUUGUGGUAGUGGGGGACUGUGUUAGCACUUUCUCCUG